GAUGAACGCUGGCGGCGUGCCUAAUACAUGCAAGUCGAGCGAACAGACGAGGAGCUUGCUCCUCUGACGUUAGCGGCGGACGGGUGAGUAACACGUGGAUAACCUACCUAUAAGACUGGGAUAACUUCGGGAAACCGGAGCUAAUACCGGAUAAUAUAUUGAACCGCAUGGUUCAAUAGUGAAAGACGGUUUUGCUGUCACUUAUAGAUGGACCCGCGCCGCAUUAGCUAGUUGGUAAGGUAACGGCUUACCAAGGCAACGAUGCGUAGCCGACCUGAGAGGGUGAUCGGCCCCACUGGAACUGAGACACGGUCCAGACUCCUACGGGAGGCAGCAGUAGGGAAUCUUCCGCAAUGGGCGAAAGCCUGACGGAGCAACGCCGCGUGAGUGAUGAAGGUCUUCGGAUCGUAAAACUCUGUUAUUAGGGAAGAACAAAUGUGUAAGUAACUAUGCACGUCUGGACGGUACCUAAGCAGAAAACCACGGCUAACUACGU
rnacentral:rRNA from 1 species